UACGGGAGGNCAGCAGUGGGGAAUAUUGGACAAUGGGCGAAAGCCUGAUCCAGCCAUGCCGCGUGUGUGAAGAAGGUCUUCGGAUUGUAAAGCACUUUAAGUUGGGAGGAAGGGCAUUAACCUAAUACGUUAGUGUUUUGACGUUACCGACAGAAUAAGCACCGGCUAACUCUGUGCCAGCAGCCGCGGUAAUACAGAGGGUGCAAGCGUUAAUCGGAAUUACUGGGCGUAAAGCGCGCGUAGGUGGUUUGUUAAGUUGGAUGUGAAAUCCCCGGGCUCAACCUGGGAACUGCAUUCAAAACUGACUGACUAGAGUAUGGUAGAGGGUGGUGGAAUUUCCUGUGUAGCGGUGAAAUGCGUAGAUAUAGGAAGGAACACCAGUGGCGAAGGCGACCACCUGGACUAAUACUGACACUGAGGUGCGAAAGCGUGNGGNGCAAACNGGAUUAGAUGNCCUGGUAGU
rnacentral:rRNA from 1 species